CGAGCAGUGGGGGAAUAUUGCACAAGUGGGCGCAAGCCUGAGUGCAGCCAUGCCGCGUGUGUGAAGAAGGCCUUCGGGUUGUAAAGCACUUUCAGUCGUGAGGAAGGUAGUGUAGUUAAUAGCUGCAUUAUUUGACGUUAGCGACAGAAGAAGCACCGGCUAACUCCGUGCCAGCAGCCGCGGUAAUACGGAGGGUGCGAGCGUUAAUCGGAAUUACUGGGCGUAAAAGCGCAUGCAGGUGGUUUGUUAAGUCAGAUGUGAAAGCCCGGGGCUCAACCUCGGAAUAGCAUUUGAAACUGGCAGACUAGAGUACUGUAGAGGGGGGUAGAAUUUCAGGUGUAGCGGUGAAAAUGCGUAGAGAUCUGAAGGAAUACCGGUGGCGAAGGCGGCCCCCUCGGACAGAUACUGACACUCAGAUGCGAAAGCGUGGGGAGCAAACAGGAUUAGAUACCCUGGUAG
rnacentral:rRNA from 1 species